GGUGUCAGUUCUUUGUAAAGGGUGCUCGAAGAGUCGAGUUGUUUGGGAAUGCAGCUCUAAGUGGGUGGUAAAUUCCAUCUAAAGCUAAAUACAGGCGAGAGACCGAUAGCGAACAAGUACAGUGAUGGAAAGAUGAAAAGAACUUUGAAAAGAGAGUGAAAAAGUACGUGAAAUUGUUGAAAGGGAAGGGCAUUUGAUCAGACAUGGUGUUUUGCGCCCCUUGCCUCUCGUGGGCUUGGGACUCUCGCAGCUCACUGGGCCAGCAUCGGUUUUGGCGGCCGGAAAAAACCUAGGGAAUGUGGCUCUGCGCCUCGGUGUAGAGUGUUAUAGCCCUGGGGAAUACGGCCAGCCGGGACCGAGGACUGCGAUACUUGUUAUCUAGGAUGCUGGCAUAAUGGUUAUAUGCCGCCCGUCUUGAAACACGGACCAAGGAGUCUAACGUCUAUGCGAGUGUUUGGGUGUUAAACCCGUACGCGUAAUGAAAGUGAACGUAGGUUGGGGCCCUCCACCUGGGGGGUGCACAAUCGACCGAUCCUGAUGUCUUCGGAUGGAUUUGAGUAAGAGCAUAGCUGUUGGGACCCGAAAGAUGGUGAACUAUGCCUGAAUAGGGUGAAGCCAGAGGAAACUCUG
rnacentral:rRNA from 1 species